rnacentral:misc_RNA from 1 species
GGUUUGAGCCCCAUUGCGAUCACUUGUGUUCUAUAUACACGGGUCUUCAUUCUUCAUUAAAUUUGCUUGUUAAGUGUUCCGUUGAAGAUAUUUCAUUUUUCGAUUUUCAAAAGUAUAGUUCAAUUUAAAAAAAACAGGACACCUGAUAUGAAUUUUCUGUAUAUAAAACCAAAGCCAGUGUACAUGAAAUAUAAAGAAAAAACUCUUUUAAAGUAUUUUUUUUAAUAAUUUUUUUUAAUUCUUAAACUAAACACGUGUCAAAUAUUUGGUAGCGGACUCCACUGAGCGUUCUAUAAGAUUUCACACAGCAUUCGAACCAGGGACCAGAGGGGGUAGAGAUCGCCCCGAGGCCCUUCUUGACCAAAUUACACAGCAUCGACUCUGUGAACAUUUCUACUGGAGUGAUGUCUUGGAAAAAUGUCACCUGAUACAAAAAAAUAAGGAUAUUGCAUUAAAUGCUAUCGUACAAACAGCAAAUUUAAAACUACUGACACUGCUCACGUACAAUAACUUAAAUUAUGUUAGCAUUGACAUAUACUAACAUGUUUUACUUCCAAAAUUUGUUUCACUUUUUAGAUGCACAGUACAUGAACAUGUAUGUUGAAGUACAUGUGUAUCAAUAAAGUCAUUUUUUGAC